rnacentral:rRNA from 1 species
UACGUAGGGUGCGAGCGUUGUCCGGAAUUAUUGGGCGUAAAGAGCUUGUAGGCGGUUUGUCGCGUCUGCUGUGAAAAUCCGGGGCUCAACCCCGGACUUGCAGUGGGUACGGGCAGACUAGAGUGUGGUAGGGGAGACUGGAAUUCCUGGUGUAGCGGUGAAAUGCGCAGAUAUCAGGAGGAACACCGAUGGCGAAGGCAGGUCUCUGGGCCACUACUGACGCUGGAGAAAGCGGAAAAGCAUGGGGAGCGAACAGGAUUAGACUACCCGCGUAGUCC